ACUAUAUAAAGAUAUAUGACCACCAGAUAGGUUGGUAUCUCCCUUUAUAGUAUUAUUAAAUCAAAGCUUGUUGAUAGUUUGUUGUGUAACUUCAUUUAGAUGAAUUGAAACAAAUUUAAGACAAGUGGAUAUAGGAUAAUCGUCCGUCCUUUACAUUGGUAUAAAAGUGAUCUGAAAAGUAUUCAUAACUUUUUAGUGACGGUCAU
rnacentral:sRNA from 12 species